CCGUCAAUUCCUUUGAGUUUCAGCCUUGCGGCCGUACUCCCCAGGUGGAUCACUUAAUGCUUUUGCUUAGCCGCUAACUGUGUAUCGCUAACAGCGAGUGAUCAUCGUUUACGGCGUGGACUACCAGGGUAUCUAAUCCUGUUCGAUCCCCACGCUUUCGUGCAUCAGCGUCAGUAAUGGCCCAGUAAGCUGCCUUCGCAAUCGGUGUUCUGUGUAAUAUCUAAGCAUUUCACCGCUACAUUACACAUUCCGCCUACCUUGACCACACUCAAGACUGACAGUAUCAACGGCAAGUCUACAGUUAAGCUGCAGGUUUUCACCACUGACUUAUCAAUCCGCCUACGCACCCUUUAAACCCAAUAAAUCCGGAUAACGCUCGCAUCCUCCGUAUUACCGCGGCUGCUGGCACGGAGUUAGCCGAUGCUUAUUCCCAGGGUACCGUCAAUCCCUGUCACGACAGAAAAAUUCUCCCCCUGGAAAAGCAGUUUACAACCCAUAGGGCCGUCUCCCUGCACGCGGGAUGGCUGGUUCAGGCUUGCGCCCAUUGACCAAUAUUCCUCACUGCUGCCUCCCGUAGGAGU
rnacentral:rRNA from 1 species